CCUACGGGAGGCAGCAGUCGGGAAUUUUGGGCAAUGGGCGAAAGCCUGACCCAGCAACGCCGCGUGAAGGAUGAAGCUUUUCGGAGUGUAAACUUCAUAAGAAUGGGACGAAUAAGUGGGGGAUAAUACCCCCCAUGAUGACGGUACCAUUUGUAAGCUCCGGCUAACUCCGUGCCAGCAGCCGCGGUAAUACGGGGGGAGCAAGCGUUGUUCGGAUUUACUGGGCGUAAAGGGCGCGUAGGCGGCGCAACAAGUCACUUGUGAAAUCUCCGGGCUUAACCCGGAGCGGCCAAGUGAUACUGUCGUGCUAGAGUGCGGAAGGGGCUACUGGAAUUCUCGGUGUAGCGGUGAAAUGCGUAGAUAUCGAGAGGAACACCUGCGGCGAAGGCGGGUAGCUGGGCCGACACUGACGCUGAGGCGCGAAAGCCAGGGGAGCGAACGGGAUUAGAUACCCCGGUAGUCCUGGCCUUAAACGAUGGAUACUUGGUGUCCGGGGUUACAUAGUCCCCGGGUGCCGGCGCUAACGCAUUAAGUAUCCCGCCUGGGGAGUACGGUCGCAAGACCGAAACUCAAAGGAAUUGACGGGGACCCGCACAAGCGGUGGAGCAUGUGGUUUAAUUCGACGCAACGCGAAGAACCUUACCUGGGCUAGAAUGCCUCUGACAACCCUGGAGACAGGGCCUUCUGGGUAAAACCAGACAGAGUGCAAGUGCUGCAUGGCUGUCGUCAGCUCGUGUCGUGAGAUGUUGGGUUAAGUCCCGCAACGAGCGCAACCCUUGUCAGUAGUUGCCAGCGGGUUAGGCCGGGCACUCUACUGAGACUGCCGUUGAUAAACCGAGACGUGGGGAUGACGUCAAGUCCUCAUGGCCCUUUAUGUCAGGGCUACCCACGUGCUACAAUGGCAGGUACAAACCGUCGCAACCUCCCAGAGGGGAGCCAAUCGGAAA
rnacentral:rRNA from 1 species